rnacentral:lncRNA from 1 species
ACAGCUCCUGGGCUGCCGAGAAGGAUACAGCCCCGGGACAAGAGAGGUGGUAGGAAGAGACAAGGCAUAGGUUGCUUGAACAGCUUGAGUAUUAGGCGUGUAUUUAGGCCCCGUUGUCCCUCCCUCUCUCUCUCUMURUGUGUGUGUGGGGGGUUAUCAUCUUCCUAUUCAUCUUCGGUGGCUUGUGUCUAUUCACCACACUGAGCCUGAAAAUGUUUCCUGCCUGUUGGCAAAGGCUGGAAGGUGUCUUUCCAGUUUGCCUCCAGCUUUUGCGUUUAGUUUGCUCUGGCUGCGUGGGUAUUUACACAGCAGCAAGGAAAGGAAACACAUUUUUAAAUUAACGAGAAGUGAUGGCAAAAUGAAAGAUGGUUAUGGAACUUGAAACUGCUUCCAAGUAGUCUUUUUUAUCCUUAUAACUUGAGACAUUUAACUUGAGUGUUGCUUUAGACUGGAUUGUAAAAAGAAUAAGUACUUUAUUUGUUCUUUGAACUACCAGUUUUCCUCUAAAUUACUACACUAGGGUGAGCCAGAACUAUCUUUCUUCUUUCUAUACUGGUGCCUUUCAUCUAUCUAAGUUGAGCAAGUGUGUAGGCUUUUUUUUUUUUGCUUACUUUCCAGACAAUCAUAAAAGUAAACUUUUUUCUGCUUUUUGUAGUUACAGUUGCAUCUACUCAGUUUCUCUAGUGACAAUCGGAUGUUUGAAUUUUCAGAGGGUGUGCUCCUGCAACAUGGUUCAUGUCCAGACUCUUCUAGGAGAUCCAACAGACCACCUGCUUGAUAGCGUGCAGGCUUUGGCCAGUAUCCAGCAACAGAAAUGACAACUCCUAAACUGCAGCUGAGGAGAAGGGAAACCUUGAAAAGAUGAUUUUCAGGUAUCUGAAAAGACUUGGAAGUGUAAAGGAAAGAUAAGAGAUUGGGAGAGGGUGGGGAAGAGUUUAGAGCUAAUGGUGAGGACAGAGACACAAAGUGCUGUGUUUGAAAAUGG